GGUGAGUAACACGUGGGAAAACCUGCCCCGAAGACGAGGAUAAGCACUGGAAACGGUGUAGAAGACUGGAUAGUAUAUGAGAAGGCAUCUUCUUAUAUUUAAAGGUUCCGUUUGGAACGCUACGGGAUGGUCCUGCGGAGCAUUAGCUAGUUGGUGAGGUAACGGCCCACCAAGGCGACGAUGCUUAGCUGUGCUGAGAGGCAAAACAGCCACACUGGGACUGAGACACGGCCCAGACUCCUGCGGGAGGCAGCAGUAGGGAAUUUUCGGCAAUGGAGGAAACUCUGACCGAGCAAUGCCGCGUGAAUGAUGAAAUUCUUCGGAAUGUAAAAUUCUGUGAAGAGGGACGAAAGUUAUUAAUAGGAAAUGAUUAGUAAUUGACGGUACCUUUUUAGAAAGCCCCGGCUAACUAUGUGCCAGCAGCCGCGGUAAUACAUAGGGGACGAGCGUUAUCCGGAUUUAUUGGGCGUAAAGCGUGCGUAGGCGGCUAUUUAAGUCUGUCGUGAAAUCCCACAGCUUAACUGUGGAGUGUCGAUGGAAACUGGGUAGCUUGAAUGCAGAAGAGGUAAGUGGAAUUCCAUGUGUAGCGGUAAAAUGCUUAGAUAUAUGGAGGAACACCAGUGGCGAAGGCGGCUUACUGGUCUGAUAUUGACGCUGAGGCACGAAAGCGUGGGGAGCAAACAGGAUUAGAUACCCUGGUAGUCCACGCCCUAAACGAUGAGUAUUAAGUAUUGGAUGAAAGUUCAGUGCUGAAGUUAACGCAUUAAAUACUCCGCCUGGGGAGUACGGUCGCAAGACUGAAACUCAAAGGAAUUGACGGGGACUCGCACAAGCGGUGGAGCAUGUGGUUUAAUUCGAUGCAACGCGAAAAACCUUACCAGGUCUUGACAUCCCUAGGACCGAUGCAGAGAUGUGUCCUUCCCCUUCGGGGGACCGAGGAGACAGGUGGUGCAUGGUUGUCGUCAGCUCGUGUCGUGAGAUGUUGGGUUAAGUCCCGCAACGAGCGCAACCCUUGUCAUUAGUUGCUAACACUAACGGUGAGCACUCUAAUGAGACUGCUAUUGAUAAAAUGGAGGAAGGUGGGGAUGACGUCAAAUCAUCAUGCCCCUUAUGACCUGGGCUACACACGUGCUACAAUGGUUGGUACAAAGAGCAGCGAAGCAGUGAUGUGGAGCAAAUCUCAAAAAGCCAAUCUCAGUUCGGAUUGUAGUCUGCAACUCGACUACAUGAAGUUGGAAUCGCUAGUAAUCGUGAAUCAGCAUGUCACGGUGAAUACGUUCUCGAGUCUUGCACUCACCGCCCGUCA
rnacentral:rRNA from 1 species